CCUUCCGUAGCUCAGCCGGACAGAGCGCCCGCUUCCGAAGCGGAUUGCCGCUGGUUCGACUCCAGCCGGAAGGUCCA
rnacentral:tRNA from 1 species